GACGAACGCUGGCGGCGUGCUUAAAACAUGCAAGUCGAACGGACUUCUCAUGAAGCUUGCGAUUGAGAAGUUAGUGGCGGACGGGUGAGUAACGCGUGGGCAACCUGCCCCUGAGCCCGGGAUAACAGUUCGAAAGGACUGCUAAGACCGGAUAUACUUGCGGUGAAGCAUUUCACUGCAAGGAAAGGGAACGCUCAGGGAUGGGCCCGCGUCCCAUUAGCUAGUUGGUGAGGUAACGGCCCACCAAGGCGACGAUGGGUAGCCGGCCUGAGAGGGUGAACGGCCACACUGGGACUGAGACACGGCCCAGACUCCUACGGGAGGCAGCAGUUGGGAAUCUUCGGCAAUGGGCGCAAGCCUGACCGAGCAACGCCGCGUGAGUGAUGAAGGUUUUCGGAUUGUAAAGCUCUGUCUUCCGGGACGAUAAUGACGGUACCGGAGGAGGAAGCCACGGCUAACUACGUGCCAGCAGCCGCGGUAAAAGUCAACGUCG
rnacentral:rRNA from 1 species